rnacentral:rRNA from 1 species
CAGCCGAGCGGUAGAUUACCUUUCGGGUAAUUGAGAGCGGCGUACGGGUGCGGAACACGUGUGCAACCUGCCUUUAUCAGGGGGAUAGCCUUUCGAAAGGAAGAUUAAUACCCCAUAAUAUAUUAUUCGGCAUCGGGUGAUAUUGAAAACUACGGUGGAUAGAGAUGGGCACGCGCAAGAUUAGCUAGUUGGUGAGGUAACGGCUCACCAAGGCGACGAUCUUUAGGGGGCCUGAGAGGGUGAUCCCCCACACUGGUACUGAGACACGGACCAGACUCCUACGGGAGGCAGCAGUGAGGAAUAUUGGACAAUGGGUGGAAGCCUGAUCCAGCCAUCCCGCGUGCAGGAAGACGGCCCUAUGGGUUGUAAACUGCUUUUAUCUGGGGAUAAACCUACUUACGUGUAAGUAGCUGAAGGUACCAGAAGAAUAAGCACCGGCUAACUCCGUGCCAGCAGCCGCGGUAAUACGGAGGGUGCAAGCGUUAUCCGGAUUUAUUGGGUUUAAAGGGUCCGUAGGCGGACUGAUAAGUCAGUGGUGAAAUCCGACAGCUUAACUGUCGAACUGCCAUUGAU